CACGCCGUAAACGUUGUGUGCCAGAUGUGGGUGGGUUCGGCCCCAUCCGCGUCCAAGCUAACGCGAUCAGCACACCGCCUGGGGACUACGGCCGCAAGGCUAAAACUCAAAGGAAUUGACGGGGGCCCGCACAAGCGGUGGAGCAUGUUGCUUAAUUCGAGGCAACGCGAAGAACCUUACCCAGGUUUGACAUGCAGUGGACGCGCGGUGAAAGCCGCGUUCCCUUCGGGGCCGCUGCACAGAUGC
rnacentral:rRNA from 1 species